rnacentral:rRNA from 1 species
UUCGGAGACACCGGUGACAGGUGGUGCAUGGUUGUCGUCAGCUCGUGUCGUGAGAUGUUGGGUUAAGUCCCGCAACGAGCGCAACCCUUGGCCUUAGUUGCCAGCAUUCAGUUGGGCACUCUAAGGCGACUGCCGGUGACAAACCGGAGGAAGGUGGGGAUGACGUCAAAUCAUCAUGCCCCUUAUGCCCUGGGCUACACACGUGCUACAAUGGGCGGUACAAAGGGUUGCGAACCCGCGAGGGGGAGCUAAUCCCAAAAAGCCGCUCUCAGUUCGGAUUGCAGGCUGCAACUCGCCUGCAUGAAGCCGGAAUCGCUAGUAAUCGCGGAUCAGCAUGCCGCGGUGAAUACGUUCCCGGGCCUUGUACACACCGCCCGUCACACCACGAGAGUCUGUAACACCCGAAGUCGGUGAGGU